rnacentral:lncRNA from 1 species
CCUUCCACUUUGGAUAUAGUGCUUCUUUUUUUGAUUGAUAUAGUAUAACAUUAACAAUGUUCCUUUUUGAUAUAGUAUAGCAUUGAUAUAACACCGAUGGUGCUCUUUUUGGUAUUUUGUGUAUGUAAUUGACUAAUCACCACUCUCUUAAUCGUCAAUAUUAUUUAUAUUUAUGUUAAUAUGAUACGAGUCUAGUUUCUUGUGUUUGUUAAU